CCCACCCUGGCCCCGCCCCGGAGGCCCUGUCCCCUCCAUGCAGGGCCCGCAGCGUGCCUGAGCUCCCACAGUCCUGAAUUCCAGCUCCAAGGGGACACGGGGAGGGCCCGAGGCCCCAACGGGGAAACACAAAGACUUAGUGACGGCAGCACACGUCAAGGUCUGUGUUUCCUUCCUCAAAUGCUUCUCAUGCUCGGCUCCACAUCUGCCUCUUGAAGGAAGAUUUAAAAAUCUCACUGACCUGGCCCCACCUCCUCUGAACUAGAUCGGAACAUCAAGAGGGCAGCACCAGCUGAUUUGAAUUUCCACCACCAGCUAUACACCGUGAACCAGCUGGGGCCCCGAGACCGGGGGUAGGAGCUUCGCUGCAAUCUCCGUGAUCAGGUUCAGCUAGAGACAGUGACCCACACACAGACUGAGAAUGAGGUGACGCAGGGGGCCAUGGCCAGCUCUGGGAGCUUAAUAAUACAGUCGUAAAUAAAGGUAAUAAUAAUA